rnacentral:misc_RNA from 1 species
AUAGAUGACCAGAACAAGAAGUGCUUGUUUUACGGAAGCACUUUACAAAAAUCAAUACGCGGUGAUCCACCUUGCAGCACCAUAGAAGCAGCGGAACGUGUUGGUGAGAAACUAGUGCAGGCUUGUGUUGACCUCAACAUCGAUGAAAUUUCAUGUUAUGAUCGAAAUGGUUUUGCUCGAGGAGACAGAAUGCAAGCCUUUGAGAUUGCCAUUUCUCGACAUGGUUUCAUGUUCAAAUAGUUCAUCCUUCUUUUCUAUGUGCAUUUUGUAUAGCCUUUUAAGACUCUGAAG